rnacentral:lncRNA from 1 species
UUUUAGCACACACAGAGAGACAGAGAAAGUGAGUAAGUGUGAGAGAGAGAGAGAGAGAGAGAGAGAGAGAAUCAGUGCUAUUCUCUGCACAAAAAAAUCUCUCUCAGGAUAGACCUUGUUUGGAGACACCAAUGAGACAGUACAAAGACUGAAAAGGAAUGGAAUGUAUUUUUCAAAAGUGAUAAAUCCUUGAGAGAAGACACAAUGUAUGACCAAUCCCAUAUGGUAUAAAUUUCAGCACUACAAGUUUCUCAGAUAAUUCAGAUGUCAUGGUUCCUUUGGCUCCUUCAAUAGAAACAGUAAAGGGCCCUGGACUCAAACUCCCUCUGUGCAAGUCCUGGCUGUGUUUCUUGCUACCGGCGUAAUGGUAGUGCUAUUUAAGCAGCAGUGCAUGUCUCCUCACAUUUGAAAAUAUUGAUUGGGUCUUGAAGACAGAAUAACAAGCGCCAGAACUCAAGCAUUUUGCCAGGAGUGGUGCUGCCUCAUCAGUACUUCAGAUCCAGGCAGGGAAACUGUCAGCAGAACUGCUCCAAAGUCUGCUUUGUGAAAUGCACAUAAGCGGUCUCCCAGACCCACUUUCCAUCCUUCUCCUUUCUGAGGAGGAGGUGGUUAGAAAAAAAAGAAGAAGACAACAAAAGAGUAGAUGAGAGAGAUGUGGCAAAAGAAGAGGCAGAAGAGAAGAGGCAAGAGAAGGAUUCUCCCACCCAUUGCUGUCUUUAGAGAUGCAGGCUAUGAGCCAAAAAGCACAGAUAGCUCCGGAAGCUGAGGACAAGCCACACUGCCCACACUCCCGCAACUGCCCAGAACUGAAUUUUGCCAAUUACCUGCAUAAAUCAGAAAAUGGAUGCUCACUAGAGUCUCCAGAAGGGAGCCUGGCUUGCUGACACCUAGAUUUUUGUCUUGUGAGACUGAUCAGAGGAAUUAUCCCAGCACACUUGACUUCUGAAAUUGUGAUAUAUCUAUGCCUGCAGAAACCCAUGACAUGCAGAAACUAUGAGUUAAUAAAUGAAUGUUGUUUUAAGCCAUCAAGUGUGUGGUAAUUUGUCACAGCAGCCCUAGAAAACGAAUAGACUCUCUAACUAACAUUGGUGUUUCAAAUUUACCAUAGGCACUGUGUAUAUAAUCUCCCUCAUACACAUGUUUCCAUUGAUAUUCAACAAAGAAGAAAAAGAAAAGGGAGGGGGAGAAAGUGAAGGGUCGUGGAAAGCAGUAGCUCAAGAAAAGGAAGAAGGAGAACUAACAAGAGGAAGAAUAAGAGGAGAAAGGAAGAAAAAAAUACCAUUUUACAAAAAAGAGAAUGCAAAGCAACUCACAGA